GAACGAGAAAGUGGAGCAAUCCAUGAGUAAAGUGGCGACCGGGUGAGUAACACGUGACUAACCUACCCUUGAGUGGGGGAUAACCUCGGGAAACCGGGGCUAAUACCGCAUAACAUCGCAAGAUCAAAGGAGCAAUCCGCUGAAGGAGGGGGUCGCGGCUGAUUAGUUAGUUGGUGAGGUAACGGCUCACCAAGACGAAGAUCAGUAGCCGGCCUGAGAGGGCGCACGGCCACACUGGAACUGAAACACGGUCCAGACUCCUACGGGAGGCAGCAGUGGGGAAUUUUGCGCAAUGGGGGAAACCCUGACGCAGCAACGCCGCGUGGAGGAUGAAGUCCCNUUGGGAUGUAAACUCCUUUCGAUCGGGACGAUUAUGACGGUACCGGAAGAAGAAGCACCGGCUAACUCUGUG
rnacentral:rRNA from 1 species